AUUGCACGCUGGCGGCAGGCCUAACACAUGCAAGUCGAACGAGUGGCGGACGGGUGAGUAAUGUCUGGGAAACUGCCUGAUGGAGGGGGAUAACUACUGGAAACGGUAGCUAAUACCGCAUACCAUCAGAUUGGCCCAGAUGGGAUUAGCUGGUUGGUGGGGUAACGGCUCACCAAGGCGACGAUCCCUAGCUGGUCUGAGAGGAUGACCAGCCACACUGGAACUGGGACAGGGUCCAGACUCCUAGGGGAGGCAGCAGUGGGGAAUAUUGCACAAUGGGCGCAAGCCUGAUGCAGCCAUGCCGCGUGUAUGAAUAAGGCCUUCGGGUUGUAAAGUACUUUCAGCGGGGAGGCGUUACCCGCAGAAGAAGCACCGGCUAACUCCGUGCCAGCAGCCGCGGUAAUUC
rnacentral:rRNA from 1 species